rnacentral:rRNA from 1 species
GUGAAAUGCGAUACUUGGUGUGAAUUGCAGAAUCCCGUGAACCAUCGAGUCUUUGAACGCAAGAUUCGCCCGAAGCCAUUAGGCCGAGGGCACGUCUGCCUGGGAGUCA